CCGAGGAGAUAAAAUAUCUGAAAAAGGGAAAUAACUCAUGGAAUGAAUAUCUACUACACCGAAUUGUGAAUUAUGGUCACUAUUACAAAAUUGCAGAAUAAAAUGAACUAUAAGAACAUUGAUUAAUGUUGCAAAUGUAACCUACUGAUGAUUUCAAAAUGGCAAGAUAUAGAUUGCAGGUGGUUCAUACUAGUGAUUUUAUAAAUUAACUGUCCAUCUUAAUUUUUCAAUGACUAAUUUGAUGUUCAAG
rnacentral:lncRNA from 1 species